rnacentral:rRNA from 1 species
GACGAACGCUGGCGGCGUGCUUAACACAUGCAAGUCGAACGGAAAGGCCCUGCUUGUGUGGGGUGCUCGAGUGGCGAACGGGUGAGUAACACGUGUGUAACCUGCCCUUGAUUUUGGGAUAACUUCAGGAAACUGGGGCUAAUACCGGACAGGAGCUCCUGCUGCAGGGUGGGGGGUGGAAAUUUUCGGCGGUUGGGGAUGGACUCGCGGCUUAUGGGCUUGUGGGUGGGGGAGCGGCUUACCAAGGCUGUGACGGGUAGCCGGCACGGGUGGGUGACCGGCCACAUGGGUCCUGCGAUACGCCCCAGUGUCCAACGGUGGGCAGCGGUGGGGAAUAUGGCCCAACGGGCGGAAGCGGGAUGAGGCAACCCCGCGGGCGGGAUGCCGGCCUUCGGGUUGUAAACCGCUUUCGCCUGUGACGAAGCGUGAGUGACGGUACUGAGUAAAGAAGCACCGGCUAACUACGUG